AAAAGGAAAGUGGAUCUGCAGCUUCCGAUGGAUGGUCAUUUGUUUGUUUGUUUAAUGAUAGUUCACUCUAUGUGCAUAUAGUUCAGUCUAUGUACAUCUCCAGUUCCAAUUGGAACAUAUGGUGAUGAUUAACAGCAGCUACGAUACUAGCUUUGAGCAUACCCCAAUUAAUCCUCUUGUUGAAUUCUUUAGUUUGACAUCUAGCUAGCAUCAUCACUGCGUUCAGCUUUCCGAAGACAUAUACACCAUCACUGUG
rnacentral:lncRNA from 1 species